rnacentral:rRNA from 1 species
UACGUAGGGGGCUAGCGUUGUCCGGAAUCAUUGGGCGUAAAGAGCGCGUAGGCGGCUGGAAUAGUCCGGUGUGAAAUCCACAGGCUUAACCUGUGAAUGCCGCUGGAAACUGUCUGGCUAGAGUCCGGAAGGGGCGAGUGGAAUUCCUGGUGUAGCGGUGAAAUGCGCAGAUAUCAGGAGGAACACCGGUGGCGAAGGCGGUUCUCUGGGCCUUACCUGACGCUGAGGAGCGAAAGCGUGGGGAGCAAACAGG